UACGGAGGGAGCUAGCGUUGUUCGGAAUUACUGGGCGUAAAGCGCACGUAGGCGGCUUUGUAAGUUAGAGGUGAAAGCCCGGGGCUCAACUCCGGAACUGCCUUUAAGACUGCAUCGCUUGAAUCCGGGAGAGGUGAGUGGAAUUCCGAGUGUAGAGGUGAAAUUCGUAGAUAUGGGGAGGAACACCGGUGGCGAAGGCGGCCAUCUGGACGGAUACUGACGCUGAGACGCGAAAGCGUGGGGAGCAAACAGG
rnacentral:rRNA from 1 species